rnacentral:rRNA from 1 species
GAUGAACGCUAGCGGCAGGCUUAAUACAUGCAAGUCGAGGGGCAGCACAGACAGCAAUAUUGGGUGGCGACCGGCAAACGGGUGCGGAACACGUACACAACCUUCCUUUUAGUGUGGGAUAGCCCAGAGAAAUUUGGAUUAAUACCACAUAGUAUAUUGGAGUGGCAUCACUUUGAUAUUAAAGAUUUAUCGCUAAAAGAUUGGUGUGCGUAUGAGUAGGUAGUUGGUAGAGGUAACGGCUAACCAAGCCUUCGAUAAUUAACUGGUGUGAGAGCACGACCAGUCACACGGGCACUGAGACACGGGCCCGACUCCUACGGGAGGCAGCAGUAAGGAAUAUUGGUCAAUGGACGGAAGUCUGAACCAGCCAUGCCGCGUGAAGGAUGACGGCCCUCUGGGUUGUAAACUUCUUUUAUGUGGGACGAAAAAGGGCCAUUUUUGGUCAACUGACGGUACCAUAGGAAUAAGCACCGGCUAACUCCGUGCCAGCAGCCGCGGUAAAAC